UUGAACACUACAACAGAUACAUCCCCGAAAGCACAGCUUAAGUUUGGAAAGUAUGGAUCCGUGCCUGUAGAGAAAUUGGAAUAUAACAUCAAUUUAACUACAGAGAGAAGCAGUUGUGAUCAUGUCCUGUGCUUCACAGAAACAUUCUAGGUAGCAGAGUGCCUAAUUAUUAUGAUGGCAAUGGGUUGGUGGUUGGACUUGAUGAUCUUAGACAUCUUUUCCAAACUCUGUGAUUCUAUGGUUGUAUUUGUCAGCUUGAACGUGCUGGAAUAAUUCUGAGACAAAUUUCUCUCCUGAUAGAGUCCUGUUUAUUGUAGUUGGAUGUAUUUAUCACACAGAUGUCUGCUUGAUAUUGAAAAGCUGAGCCCAGCCUAAACCUGCCUUUAAAUCCUAGGUCUUCACAUUCCUAUUUAAGAGAGUAAUAUUUGAGUGCUGGAGGAGUUCAGGUGUUGGCUGCAGGAUAAUUUCAGCACAACACAGUGUUAUGCUUUGAUUGCUCAGAAGAUGUACUACAUGUUUUCUUUGUGUUUGUGAUGCAGUGUUCAGUUAUCUUCUCAUUUGCAACCUCAGAAGUACCUGAAAAGUCUCACUGUGGUUGCUGAAGUUCUUCCUGUUGGUCUGGGAACAACUAUCAGCGCUCAAAUGGAAGCAAAUAAGGAGGCAGUAUGGUGCUAUAACAGGUGAGCAAAUUAUCACACACCUUCUCAUAGACUGUAAAUCUUGGGUUAUUAAUUACUGAAUGUGACUUUGGUGGAGGAAAGCAGCUGGAAAACAAGUUUCUUUACAGAAGAUAUAUUGCUGAAGGUUAGCAUUCUCCUUGCAUUUAUCUGCUUUCCAGUAAUGCAGUCUGCUUCUCAACAUGGGACAGAAUGCUGAUACACCCUUUUUGGCCAUUGUGAUGGGAAUUAAGGCUGCAUUUUAUGCUCUGCAAGUAUCGCCUCUUCUGUCUGCUGCAGCUCUAAAUCUUUCAGAAGCAGGCGGCUGCUGCUGUGUUCCCAUUCAGGCUUAGCUUCUUUUUGUUUCUAAAUACAAACUGACUUUGUAGUGAGUGAUUUCUGAGCUCAGGAAGCAUGCUGUGGUAAAGAGGUGCAUUUGUGAAGCCAUCUACCUGGAAAAAGUUGUGCCCUGGGAAUAACAGAUGGCUGUGCCUGUGCUGGUGAUGGAUGGUCAUGGAAUGUCUUUUUUCA